AGCAGCCGCGGUAACUCCAGCUCCAAUAGCGUAUAUUAAAGUUGUUGCAGUUAAAAAGCUCGUAGUUGAAUUUCGGGGUCAGUAGGUCGGUCGUGCCACUGGUAUGAACUGGUCUCACUGAUUCCUCCCUCUUGUAGAACCGUGAUGCCAUUAAUUUGGUGUUGCGGGGAAACAGGACUGUUACUUUGAAAAAUUAGAGUGUUUAAAGCAAGCUAACGCUUGAAUACAUUAGCAUGGAAUAAUGAAAUAGGACGUCUGUCUUAUUUUGUUGGUUUCUAGGAUGGACGUAAUGAUUAAUAGGGAUAGUUGGGGGCAUUAGUAUUCAAUUGUCAGAGGUGAAAUUCUUGGAUUUAUUGAAGACUAACUACUGCGAAAGCAUUUGCCAAGGAUGUUUCAUUAAUCAAGAACGAAAGUUAGGGGAUCGAAGACGAUCAGAUACCGUCGUAGUCUUAACCAUAAACUAUGCCGACUAGGGAUCGGAUGAUGUUAAUUUUUAAUGUACUCAUUCGCGCCUUACGGG
rnacentral:rRNA from 1 species